rnacentral:tRNA from 1 species
GCGGGUGUAGUACAGUGGUAGUACGGUUGCUUCCCAAGCAAUAGACGAGGGUCCGAUUCCCUUCACCCGCUCAA